ACUUCGGGCAUCAGACAGCGAACCAGGUCAAGUCUGCAGAGCUACACUUCAUUAUUUCUGAGAACUCUGCACUUUCUUGUUUACUCUCGCCGCAAGCGGAGUGGAUCACGAUCUGGCUCGUUGUUCCUUUUUCCUAUGCAUAUACUUCUUUGAGAAUUGCUUCUAAAGAGGUAUAGGGCAUGGGAAAAUGGGGCAGUGAGGUACUUCACCCCUCAUCUCAGGCAGCAUCGCGAAGGCAGCGGCAGAAAUGUUUAGAGAAAACAGACGGGCCAAGAAAUGAAAGGUGCCGGGAUCACUGUCACUGAAUCCAGGUGUCUGGGAAGUGGAAGUAGAAGCUCUCUUUGCUCAUUUUAUUUUGUAGACAAACAAAAUUUUAAUGUUUCUGUCAAAUUACUUUCAUUUACUCUAAAUAGCAAUGUGUCACAUCAACCCUGGGGGGAAAAUUCUGCUGUUAUGAAACAAUGUAACUGUACAUAAUGCAUGUCAAAUAAAUAUCUAAUGGUUCAGUCACAGAUCAAAAGUUUGUGUUAUGCUGCAUCACAGUUUCUAACAAGUGUUUUAAAGCUGUGAGCUCAGAAAGAGCUAAGAACAUUACAUUACAAGUCAUUUUACCCGGUGGUUAUUGUCAUGCUACACUAUUCAAUAUUAAAUGAAUAUUUUAGAAGCUACUUUUCAUCU